rnacentral:rRNA from 1 species
GUCUACAGCCACGCCACCCUGAACGUGCCCGAUCCCGUCUGAUCUCGGAAGCUAAGCAGGGUCGGGCCUGGUUAGUACUUAGAUGGGAGACCACCUAGGAAGACCAGAUGCUAUAGGCG